UACGUAGGGUGCAAGCGUUAAUCGGAAUUACUGGCGUAAAGCGUGCGCAGGCGGCUUUGCAAGACAGAUGUGAAAUCCCCGGGCUCAACCUGGGAACUGCAUUUGUGACUGCAAGGCUAGAGUACGGUAGAGGGGGAUGGAAUUCCGCGUGUAGCAGUGAAAUGCGUAGAUAUGCGGAGGAACACCGAUGGCGAAGGCAAUCCCCUGGACCUGUACUGACGCUCAUGCACGAAAGCGUGGGGAGCAACAGG
rnacentral:rRNA from 1 species